rnacentral:rRNA from 1 species
AGUGAACGCUGGCGGCAGGCCUAACACAUGCAAGUCGAACGGCAGCACAAGAGAGCUUGCUCUCUGGGUGGCGAGUGGCGGACGGGUGAGGAAUGCAUCGGAAUCUGCCCAUUUGUGGGGGAUAACCUCGGGAAACCGGGACUAAUACCGCAUACGACCUACGGGUGAAAGCAGGGGAUCUUCGGACCUUGCGCAGAUGGAUGAGCCGAUGCCGGAUUAGCUAGUUGGAGGGGUAAAGGCCCACCAAGGCGACGAUCCGUAGCUGGUCUGAGAGGAUGAUCAGCCACACUGGGACUGAGACACGGCCCAGACUCCUACGGGAGGCAGCAGUGGGGAAUAUUGGACAAUGGGCGCAAGCCUGAUCCAGCCAUGCCGCGUGUGUGAAGAAGGCCUUCGGGUUGUAAAGCACUUUUGUUGGGAAAGAUAAGCAGCCGGUUAAUACCCGGUUGUCAUGACGGUACCCAAAGAAUAAGCACCGGCUAACUUCGUG